rnacentral:lncRNA from 1 species
GGCUGCAGUUGGUAUUUGCCUUCUUGAGUUCAAAGUAAAUAAUGGUUGAUCUUUACUUGUUAUGAACUUAGAACUAAGUUGUUUUUUUUCAUUAACACUAUUAUUAUUACCCCAAAUGUCUUCUUCUUGAAAUUCUUCAUUCUUGAAAUUAUAUGUCCCUUCAUUUGAUGAAGCCAUCUUCUGAAAAACACAAAAUUCAAUCAAGUCAACCAAGUUGCAUAUAUGCACUAAUUCAAAAAAAAUUUAUGUAAAUAGAAUCCCUUUUUUUCUCUCCCAAAAGACAUCUAAACUCCUCGAGUCUCAAUUCAAACCAUACAAUCAAGUCAUAAAUAGGAAUACAACAACAACAACAUAGUUAGUGUAAUAUGACAAAUGGGAUUCGGGGAGAGUAGUGUGCACGCAGACCUUACCCCUACCUUGUGUGAGAUAGAGAGGAUGUUUCGGAUAGACCCUCGAUUCAAAUAAAAAAACAACAAAGUAAGCUUGAGACAAAUAGGCAUAAAAGGGCAGCAUGGUGCACCAAGCUCCCGCUAUGCGCGAGGUCCAGGGAAAGGCCGGACCCCAAGAGGUCUAUCGUACGCAUUGUUACCCUGCAUUUCUGCAAGAGACUGUUUCCACGGCUCGAACCCGUGACCUUCUGGAGGUCAUGUGACCAUGAACAUAUCAAAAACACAAUAUAGAAUACAAAACAAGGGGUUGAGUUGUUACAGAUAAUUAGACAUUAUAAUAGAUUAUGCAUAUAUAAGCAAGAAUUACUUACCAAAAUGAAUUUUUUUUCUUCAAUUGGAACUUGCAACAGAUAGCUUACUACUUGAGAUUUGAUAUCUGCAUAUAUUACAAGACUUUAGUCCUCUCUAUACAUGAAUAAGAUUCUCAGGAGAGAGCCAAAUGAGAGAAAAUGUGUAAGCAAUCAAGA